AUACAACCGAUGAGUCCGAAAUAGGACGAAACGCGCCUUGUAU
rnacentral:hammerhead_ribozyme from 1 species